GGAGAAGUUUGUUGUUUUUUU
rnacentral:sRNA from 1 species